UACGAAGGGGGCUAGCGUUGCUCGGAAUCACUGGGCGUAAAGCGCACGUAGGCGGACUCUUAAGUCAGGGGUGAAAUCCUGGAGCUCAACUCCAGAACUGCCUUUGAUACUGAGAGCCUUGAGUCCGGAAGAGGUAAGUGGAACUGCGAGUGUAGAGGUGAAAUUCGUAGAUAUUCGCAAGAACACCAGUGGCGAAGGCGGCUCACUGGCCCGAUACUGACGCUGAGGCACGAAAGCGUGGGGAGCAAACAGG
rnacentral:rRNA from 1 species